GCCUGCUUAGCAUAGUGGCUAAUGCGUUGCACUUGUAUCCAGCAAUGGAGUCUAAGAGAUGCAAAGAUCACAGGUUCGAUUCCUGUAGUAGGCA